rnacentral:lncRNA from 1 species
GAAUUGCUUGAGCACAGAAUUUUGACACCAGCCCUGGGAACACAAAGCAGAAGGAAAGGAGGAAGGAGAGAAGAAAGAAAGCAUUCCCAAAGCAAAGCCUGGGGUUCUAUUUAAAAUCAUGCAACCAGGAAAAGCAGACAUGAGAAACUUACUACACUCACUCUGGAGAAGAUAAAGUGGAGUUCCAGAGGAUUAUUUUCUCACGUAACAUGUUUACAGACUUCGGAGGUUGAGGCGGGUGGAUCACCUGAGGUCAAGAAUUCAAGAGCAGCCUGGCCAAC